rnacentral:lncRNA from 1 species
CACUAAAAGAUUAACUCUAGUGUUCAUGUGUCCUUCUUUUCAAAUAUCAGGUAACUUGAAUAAGGAUUAUGUGCCCCACCCUUACUCUCAUUCCUGCUUCCUCUUGGACUCAAACAGGGUAUGAGUAUGAAGAUUUUGCCUUUAGUUCCUGAACUGAACCUGCUUGCUAUCCCUUUCCUCCCCACCACUACCUUAUUCCUUCUCUGCCUCCAAAUUGCCACUUUGUUUUGAGGCUUCCUUCCCUACCUUAUUAUUCUGAAGGAAGUAGAGAUCUUGCUUCUGAAACCCCUCCUAAGAAACUGCCCAGGGACAAGAUAAAUUACAAACAAUUCAUGGGAGUUUACUACCUAAGUUGCUUCUAGGGCAUAUGUAUACCAUACUAGUAGUCUAGAUUUCUGGAUAUACUCUACAGUAGAUGGGGGUUAUGGUUGAAACUGAUUCUCUUUCAGUAUUCCCUCUAAACAUCUCCCCUACUCCCCCAGCUUAGUUAAACCCUGCGUUUGGACCUUCCUGCCUGCAGCUAUUAGUAGAAAGUAAAACAUAUUUCCAUAUUUCCCUUCACCUAACAUUUUAUUUUUUGGAAGCGUUAUCAGUCCUAUUUGGUUAGUGAGAACCAUGUUCCCCUUAUUCCCGCUAAGUUGCUGCUGUUUACUACCUUAGAUUCUCAUUUGUUUUCUCUUUCUUUCCUCUCCUUCCACAUUAAUUAUUAGAACAUAAGUUGAUCAGGAAAAUUAAAUGAGACUUUAGUAUUUUGGCACUUCCUAAUUGACACCUUGGGAGACUGCAGGAAGGGAAAGAGAAUCAAUGAUCAGUUAUUUGUGUGUGUGUGUGGUUUUUUUUUUUUUUUGGAAGACAGAGUCUCACACUUUUGCCCAGGCUGGAGUGCAGUGGCGUGAUCUCGGCUCACUGCAACCUCUGCCUCCAGGGUUCAAGCGAUUCUCUUGCCUCAGCUUCCCGAUAGCUGGGACUACAGGCGCCCGCCACCAUGCCUGGCUAAUUUUUUUGUAUUUUUAGUAGAGACGGGGUUUCACCGUGUUUGACAGGAUGGUCUCGAUUUCCUGACUUCGUGAUCCGCCCGCCUCGGCCUCCCAAAGUGCUGGGAUUACAGGCGUGAGCCACCGCGCCCGGCACUAUUUGUGUUUUUAACACCAUUCUCCCCCACUUCUCUCCUGGGUGACAUAAGAGAGAAAUAACCUGUAGUACAGCAGCUAAAGUAUUCUCCUUUCAGAGAAUUUUUUUGGAGGUCUCUAAUAUAUAUUUCCCCCUUGUCUCUGUGAUCUCUUAUUUAUACUAUAUUAUUGUCCCAUGUACUUUCUAAACUGAGCUUGGAACAUUUAGUAUUCCUGCAAUUGGACUUCCCACUUAACAAUUAUACAGACUUUGCUUUUAGAAAUAGAUUAGGUUCCAAACAGAAAGUUCAAGUGUAACAACAACAAUAAAAAUAGAUUAUGAAACAGGCUAUAAUUGGCUCUUUUGGAUUUGAUAGGGGCAAGAUGAAAGGCAACUUUCUUGCUUUUGAAAUCAUGUUGGGUAAGAGGUAAGGAAUCCAGCUACAAUUUUAUUAGUGCUUGAAACGGGCUUCCUUGAAUUCUCCAGGCCCUAUCAUUUUUUUUUUCUUACUAAUCAGAAGAGAGCUGGGGUAGAAGCCCCAUGUUUGUAUUCCAUGAAACACGUCGGGUUGGAGUAAAGGCAAAAACAGCUAGACACACCAGGUGUGUCUGUUUGACAUUUAUAAGCUGGCACUCAUCAACACUCCUGUUUCUCCUUUCUCUGGGACGUGUGGAUUAAGGGGUGUGAGUUGUGGGAAGAAUUGCCCUCGUACCUCCUGGAUUUAUUAUUUUUCUCAAAUACCAACCAGUAAGAUCCCAAAUAACUUGAGAAAAAUUGUUUCCUGAUCUGUCCACUUCUGGUGUCAAAGAUUUUACUCAUCUUCUUAGUACAUUCUAUGUAUUUUAUAUGUAUAAU